AGCCUCCUGUGUCCGUGAUGAGAUUUCGUCACGCACCAGACCACAAAAUCUGAUGAGACUCCCGAAAUAAGUGAAGCG
rfam:Schistosoma margrebowiei strain Zambia genome assembly, scaffold: SMRZ_scaffold0004272